GACGAACGCUGGCGGCGUGCUUAACACAUGCAAGUCGAACGCUGAAGACCUAGCUUUUGUUGGGUUGGAUGAGUGGCGAACGGGUGAGUAACACGUGAGUAACCUGCCCUCUUCUUUGGGAUAACGCCCGGAAACGGGUGCUAAUACUGGAUAUUCACUGAUCUUCGCAUGGGGGUUGGUGGAAAGGUUUGUUCUGGUGGGGGAUGGGCUCGCGGCCUAUCAGCUUGUUGGUGGGGUGAUGGCCUACCAAGGCUUUGACGGGUAGCCGGCCUGAGAGGGUGACCGGUCACAUUUGGACUGAGAUACGGCCCAGACUCCUACGGGAGGCAGCAGUGGGGAAUAUUGCACAAUGGGCGAAAGCCUGAUGCAGCGACGCCGCGUGAGGGAUGGAGGCCUUCGGGUUGUAAACCUCUUUCGCUCAUGGUCAAGCCGCAACUGUGGGUUGUGGUGAGGGUAGUGGGUAAAGAAGCGCCGGCUAACUACGUG
rnacentral:rRNA from 1 species